GAUGAGACAAGAAAAGUAUAGGCUCCACUAAUCACUUCUUGAGAAAAAAUCGCACUUGAGGGGGAAGUAUGUUAUGUUCAAGUGUCAAAGUCUAGGACGGUCACUAUCUAGAAUAAACAUUUUGGUUUGACAAUUUUACUAAGAAUUUUCUGACUACAAAAUAAGCAAGAAAGGUUGUACACACUAGCAUUUUACAGGAAAUCAUAGUUAUGAUUCAUGAUCCAUUGGCUCUCAUUAUGGAUCAGUGUAAUAUAAUCUGAGAUGUUAUUUAUAUGGUGUUAAUAUUUUCUUCAUUAGCUAUAGCUACAAACUAGUCUUUGGUUGAAUAACUUACACUUAUCUCAUAGUUAUGAUUUCGUGUCUUGUAUUUUACAUAUAAAUUCUUUAAUAUAUAAGUAUAGAUUAUCUUCCUCUCAACUAAUUUCUACAUAUAUAGAAAUUAUGCUUAGAUGGUGAUUGAAUAUUUAUACUCAUAGGUGGAGUUUAGAUGAGGGUUUUUGAAUUGCAUAAACAGAGGUAGAAAUCACUGUUAGUGUUUUACCUACAGGUCUUGUUGACUCCUACUCAUCUAGCUAUUGUCAUGGAAUAUGCGACUGGUAGCGAACUCUUUGCCAGAAUAUGCAGUGCUGGUCGGUUUAGUGAAGACGAGGUUUUAUUAUGAAGCUUGCUUCUUUAAAUUACAUCUCAGGAUUGUUGCACUCACAACCUAAAUCAACUAUUGGAACUCUAGCAUAUAUUGCUUUGGAGGUCCUGUCACGAAAGGAAUAUGAUGGAAAGGUGAUGUUGCUGCCAUAGGCUGGUGGGAUUUGUUUAUAAAUUUUGGGUAAAAUUUAGUGGUCUUUAUAGCAAUGUUUGAUGAUUGGAGUUAUCUUUUUGUGUCGAUAUGAGUGUUGGAAUGAUUAUGUAUAUACUUUGACAAUAUUACGAAAAUCCCAUUCAUCUGUUUCCCUGACAGAUUUGUUGAAUGUUGAAAUUUAUGGUUGAAUUGUGAUAAUUGUUAUUGGU